rnacentral:rRNA from 1 species
GACGAACGCUGGCGGCGUGCUUAACACAUGCAAGUCGAACGAUGAAGACAAGAAUUGAAGCUUCGGCAGACAUUCAUUUCGGAUUAGUGGCAGACGGGUGAGUAACGCGUGAGCAACCUACCUCUCCCAAAGGGAUAGCCUCGGGAAACCGGGACUAAUACCAUAUAACAUUUCCACGAAGCAUUUCGAUGCAAUCAAAGCUACGGCGGUAAGAGAUGGGCUCGCGUCUCCUUAACCAGAUGGUGAGGUAACGGCUCACCAUAGCAACGAUGGGUAGCCGACCUGAGAGAGUGAACGGUCACACUGGAACUGAGACACGGUCCAGACUCAUACGGGAGGCAGCAGUGGGGAAUAUUGCACAAUGGAGGGAACUCUGAUGCAGCGACGCCGCGUGAGUGAUGAAGAGAUUCGUUGCGUAAGACUCUGUUCUAUGGGAAGAAAAGGACUGUACCAUAGGAAAAAGCACCGGCUAAAUACGUG